rnacentral:snRNA from 1 species
UCCAGAAAUGUUUCCCCGAGGAU